AUUAAAAAAAUAACCCAAGAUAGAGCACAGCCUGUCGUUUCCAAUGGGUGCAAAUCAUAGUGGGCAGAACCAACUUCAAUUGGCAAAUACCUACCUUCAAUGGUCACUGGCACGCUGGAUAAGUGUACAGUUCAUAGAUGAAUCCCGAUUUCAACUGUACUGGGCAGAUGGCGGUGUUAACGGCGUGUCCCAUGGUGGCGGUGGGGUUAUGAGUUCCUAGUUGUCUUGAAAGCACCAUGAAUCCAGAGAAUGCUAGACUUUGACGACAAAGUUUGAUGACAAAAUUUGCCCACAAGGACCACUGCGCCACCUUCCUGUUCAAGUGAGCCCAGCAUAACAAGAACAGUGACAUAGAGCCUGAGGAUUCCCCAAUCCCUAAAAUGUCUCCCAAGAGGAAGAUAAAUCUCAUGCAUUAUUCAUAACAAUUCAGUGGCCAAGCCCACAGCCAUUUCAGUUUCCACCACAUCAACAGUAACACCAAGAGUGGAGUGCUUCACAGCAUGCAGGAACCUGUUUGGUCACUGGGUCCCGGAAGCGUAUUGUGGUGUCUAGUGCUGAUUAGCGAACCAAU